UACGAAGGGGGCUAGCGUUGCUCGGAAUCACUGGGCGUAAAGCGCACGUAGGCGGAUUGCUAAGUCAGGGGUGAAAUCCUGGAGCUCAACUCCAGAACUGCCUUUGAUACUGGCAACCUUGAGUCCGGGAGAGGUGAGUGGAACUGCGAGUGUAGAGGUGAAAUUCGUAGAUAUUCGCAAGAACACCAGUGGCGAAGGCGGCUCACUGGCCCGGUACUGACGCUGAGGAGCGAAAGCGUGGGGAGCGAACAGG
rnacentral:rRNA from 1 species